rnacentral:rRNA from 1 species
UGAGUGCGAGCUUCUACGGAAGCGAAGUUGGUGACGUCAAGCUUCCAAGAAAAGCCCUAUACCCGUUAAGGCAUGAUUACCUGUACCCGAAACCGACACAGGUGGGGUGGUAGAGAAUACCGAGGGGCGCGAGGUAACUCUCUCUAAGGAACUCGGCAAAAUGACCCCGUAACUUCGGGAGAAGGGGUGCCAGCGCGAGCUGGUCGCAGUGAAUAGGCCCAGGCGACUGUUUACCAAAAACACAGGUCUCCGCUAAGUCGCAAGACGAUGUAUGGGGGCUGACGCCUGCCCAGUGCCGGAAGGUUAAAGAAGUUGGUCAGCGCAAGCGAAGCUAACGACUGAAGCCCCGGUGAACGGCGGCCGUAACAAUAACGGUCCUAAGGUAGCGAAAUUCCUUGUCGGGUAAGUUCCGACCCGCACGAAAGGCGUAACGAUCUGGGCGCUGUCUCGGAGAGAGGCUCGGCGAAAUAGAAUUGUCUGUGAAGAUGCGGACUACGUGCACCCGGACAGAAAGACCCUAUGAAGCUUUACUGUAGCUUGGUAUUGUGCUCGGGCUCGCAAUGCGCAGGAUAGGUGGGAGGCUUUGAUCCAUUGCUUGUGGGUGAUGGUGAGCCACUGGUGAGAUACCACUCUUUGCGAGCUAGGGUUCUAACGGUUACCCGUCAUCCGGGAACCGGACAGUAUCUGGUGGGCAGUUUGACUGGGGCGGUCGCCUCCUAAAAGGUAACGGAGGCGCGCAAAGGUUUGCUCAGGCUGGUUGGAAAUCAGCCGACGAGUGUAAAAGCAGAAGCAAGCUUGACUGUGAGACCUACAAGUCGAACAGGGAGGAAACUCGGCUUUAGUGAUCCGACGGUUCUGAGCGGAAGGGCCGUCGCUCAACGGAUAAAAGUUACUCUAGGAUAACAGGCUGAUCUCCCCCAAGAGUUCACAUCGACGGGGAGGUUUGGCACCUCGAUGUCGGCUCAUCGCAACCUGGGGCUGAAGUCGGUCCCAAGGGUUGGGCUGUUCGCCCAUUAAAGCGGUACGCGAGCUGGGUUCAGAACGUCGUGAGACAGUUCGGUCCAUAUCCGGUGCAUGCGCAGGAAUAUUGAGAGGAUUUCUCCCUAGUACGAGAGGACCGGGAGGAACGCACCUCUGGUGUACCAGUUAUCGUGCCAACGGUAAACGCUGGGUAGCCAUGUGCGGAGUGGAUAACCGCUGAAAGCAUCUAAGUGGGAAGCCCACCUCAAGAUGAGUAUUCCCAUGGCUUAAGCCAGUAAGGUCACGGGAAGAACACCCGUUGAUAGGCUCUAUGUAGAAGCGCAGUAAUGCGUGAAGCAGAGGAGUACUAAUAGACCGAGGGCUUGACC